GUGCCAGCAGCCGCGGUAAUACGUAUGGGGCUAGCGUUGUUCGGAAUUAUUGGGCGUAAAGGGCGUCUAGGCGGGGGAUUAAGUUAGGUGUGAAAUCCCUGGGCUCAACCCAGGAACUGCAUCUAAAACUGGUUCUCUUGAGUUCGGGAGAGGAGAGCGGAAUUCCCGGUGUAGCGGUGAAAUGCGUAGAUAUCGGGAAGAACACCAGUGGCGAAGGCGGCUCUCUGGCCUAGAACUGACGCUGAAGCGCGAAAGCGUGGGGAGCGAACGGGAUUAGAAACCCUCGUAGUCC
rnacentral:rRNA from 1 species